rnacentral:rRNA from 1 species
AGUGAACGCUGGCGGUAGGCCUAACACAUGCAAGUCGAACGGCAGCACAGUAAGAGCUUGCUCUUACGGGUGGCGAGUGGCGGACGGGUGAGGAAUACAUCGGAAUCUACUUUUUCGUGGGGGAUAACGUAGGGAGACUUACGCUAAUACCGCAUACGUCCUACGGGUGAAAGCAGGGGAUCUUCGGACCUUGCGCGACUGAAUGAGCCGAUGUCGGAUUAGCUAGUUGGCGGGGUAAAGGCCCACCAAGGCGACGAUCCGUAGCUGGUCUGAGAGGAUGAUCGGCCACACUGGAACUGAGACACGGUCCAGACUCCUACGGGAGGCAGCAGUGGGGAAUAUUGGACAAUGGGCGCAAGCCUGAUCCAGCCAUACCGCGUGGGUGAAGAAGGCCUUCGGGUUGUAAAGCCCUUUUGUUGGGAAAGAAAAGCAGCAGGUUAAUACCCCGCUGUUCUGACGGUACCCAAAGAAUAAGCACCGGCUAACUUCGUG